rnacentral:piRNA from 1 species
CCUACAGCCACAGAGCUCCUUAGCUAGGCA